UACGUAGGGCGCAAGCGUUGUCCGGAAUUAUUGGGCGUAAAGAGCUCGUAGGCGGUCUGUCGCGUCGGAUGUGAAAAACCCAGGGCUCAACCCUGGGCCUGCAUUCGAUACGGGCAGACUAGAGUUCGGUAGGGGAGACUGGAAUUCCUGGUGUAGCGGUGAAAUGCGCAGAUAUCAGGAGGAACACCGGUGGCGAAGGCGGGUCUCUGGGCCGAAACUGACGCUGAGGAGCGAAAGCGUGGGGAGCAAACAGG
rnacentral:rRNA from 1 species